rnacentral:lncRNA from 1 species
UUUUUUUUACAUCACAUAUAUAACUCAUUUAAGAAAUUAAUCUACUAGACAUAUAAUAAAAUAGUUUGAUUGAUUUUGAUAUUAUGAUCAAAUCAAGUUGCCAUCAUUAUUCAUGAGUCAUGAGUGUGAUCCAGUUUUUCUUCUGUAUAUAAAGGGCCAUGACUAAAUUAAUAGACACGUUAAUCAUUUUCAUUAUAUUGUUCUCAUCCUUUAUAUAUCAAGACCAUUAUAUGAAUAUAUAUACA